GAAAGGACCGCCUCCGCAUGCAGAGGCGCGAUGCAUACGGUGUUUGCCUUUCACGCCAGCGACCAGGGUUCACUUCUAUGCCACGUCGUUUGUUAUACUGUUAUCAGACGUGGGUUGGCAGCGGUGAGGACAUCGGAACGUACGGCUCGAUGUGUGAGGGGAAAGAGAGGAGGAUCAAUGGAGUUAAUCUACUCUACAAGUAGGAAAUCCGCUUCCUUCCUAAAAGAGGACGUGUCCUGCUUGCCAGUGCAGCUUUCACCCCGCUCAGUCACCAGUCUGUACCAUGUUUGUUUUUCUACGUUUAUUAAGUUCUCCCCCAACAGGAAAACAAAUAAUAUCAAGACGUCAUCGGCUGCAAGGUUUGUUCUCUUCUUU
ensembl:lncRNA